GAUGAACGCUGGCGGCGUGCUUAACACAUGCAAGUCGAACGAUGAACCGGGUGCUUGCACUCGGGGAUUAGUGGCGAACGGGUGAGUAACACGUGAGCAACCUGCCCCUGACUCUGGGAUAAGCGCUGGAAACGGCGUCUAAUACUGGAUAUGUCCCGUCACCGCAUGGUGUGCGGGUGGAAAGAUUUUUCGGUUGGGGAUGGGCUCGCGGCCUAUCAGCUUGUUGGUGAGGUAAUGGCUCACCAAGGCGGCGACGGGUAUCCGGCCUGAGAGGGUGGCCGGCCACACUGGGACUGAGACACGGCCCAGACUCCUACGGGAGGCAGCAGUGGGGAAUAUUGCACAAUGGGCGGAAGCCUGAUGCAGCAACGCCGCGUGAGGGAUGACGGCCUUCGGGUUGUGAACCUCUUUUAGCAGGGAAGAAGCGAGAGUGACGGUACCUGCAGAAAAAGCACCGGCUAACUACGUGCCAGCCGCCGCAGUAA
rnacentral:rRNA from 1 species